CUGUUUGCUGAGCAGGAAGAACCCAACCAAUUUAAACCCUGGAGGCUUUGGUGAAAAAUGUAUCAAUUCUGGGGGGAUCAGACAAUAUUUUGGUCAGACCCGAACUAUUUAAUGACACUAGACACUGAGAUUCAAAAAGUUGAAGCUUUAGAACUGUUAAAAUUGUCUGUGAGGAGCUAAAUCUCCUCCCUCCCCCAGCAGCUCCCCCAGGGCAAUGACCCAGAGCCUCCCCCACCACCACAGGGACCGAGGCUGAGAGUCCAUCUGAGGGCGGCUCAGGGGCCUGUGGAAUGUGCUGGGAUCUCAGCCUGGGCCCUAGGGGGGCAGGUGACCCUGUCACACAACCACACCCAGCAAGGCCUGCUCCCAUUUUCUCCCUGUUUGUCCGUCCCAGCAGAGAGACCAGGGACUGCAGGGAGACCAAGCUCCCAUCCCCCAAGUGAGGGCUGGGGCCCAAUGGCCGAGGGCAGCCGGUGUGAGGGGAGCUCACACUAGGGGCCUGCAGGGUACCUGGUAUGGGAUAAACAGAGACCUCUCAGGCCACUUGCCAUUGCGGCUGCAGCAGGGGAUGUGGGGACAGACGGAGGAGGCCUGGGGCAGUCUGGGAAGCCGCCAUCGGGGACACGGAGAGGGAACUCAGCUGUGGCGGGGAAGCUGUGCUGCGCAGAGAUGCUGCUGCAGAUGCAGCUGGUUACCCGGGUCCAGCGCUGCAGCAGGUUAACAACGUGGUUACUAGACGUUGCAGCUCAGCGGAGGGAAGUGCUGCCCUUUUGCUGGUCUCCGCGCGGCUUGAGAUUUGUGAGCAUCAUUCAAACACCUUUCCCCUGCUGCUGUCUCAGGUACCCGGGUCUUCACUCAGCGUUGCAGAGCAGAGCAGAUUCAGUGCUUUGGUACAGGGUUACGGAAAGGAAAAAGACUGGAAUGGUACAUAUAGUACCUGUAAUUUCUCUCCCCUGGCUGUCGGAUGUACCGUGUGCAGCUGGUUACUUAGAGACAUUCAGUCAGACAGCUGGGGUGGCCUUUUUGUGCUCUGCCCCUUUCUCAGUAAAUGCAACUGCACCAUGUCCUGGAGGAACAAGAGCGACUCCUACUGGCCCAGCUGGAAGAGCUGGAUCCAGAGACUGCAGAAAGAAUUGAAAAGACAAAGCAAAUUUUGCAGGAAAUACCCUGUGCCUGUGACCUGCUCCUGAAUGGGCGUGUGUGUGUAUGAUCACAAACCGGAGAACUUGGAGGACGCUGAUGUGGCUAGUAAGUCGGUGAAACUAGCAGAUUAACAUUUCUCUUUUGAUGUAGGAAUAAAAAGACUGAACAU